rnacentral:rRNA from 1 species
GUGGGGAAUCUUGCGCAAUGGGCGAAAGCCUGACGCAGCCAUGCCGCGUGAAUGAUGAAGGUCUUAGGAUUGUAAAAUUCUUUCACCGGGGACGAUAAUGACGGUACCCGGAGAAGAAGCUCCGGCUAACUUCGUGCCAGCAGCCGCGGUAAUACGAAGGGGGCUAGCGUUGCUCGGAAUUACUGGGCGUAAAGGGCGCGUAGGCGGACAGCUUAGUCAGAGGUGAAAGCCCAGGGCUCAACCUUGGAAUUGCCUUUGAUACUGGCUGUCUUGAGUUUGGGAGAGGUGAGUGGAACUCCGAGUGUAGAGGUGAAAUUCGUAGAUAUUCGGAAGAACACCAGUGGCGAAGGCGACUCACUGGCCCAAUACUGACGCUGAGGCGCGAAAGCGUGGGGAGCAAACAGGAUUAGAAACCCGAGUAGUUC